GACGAACGCUGGCGGCGUGCUUAACACAUGCAAGUCGAACGGAAAGGCCCUGCUUUUGUGGGGUGCUCGAGUGGCGAACGGGUGAGUAACACGUGAGUAACCUGCCCUUGACUUUGGGAUAACUUCAGGAAACUGGGGCUAAUACCGGAUAGGAGCUCCUGCUGCAUGGUGGGGGUUGGAAAGUUUCGGCGGUUGGGGAUGGACUCGCGGCUUAUCAGCUUGUUGGUGGGGUAGUGGCUUACCAAGGCUUUGACGGGUAGCCGGCCUGAGAGGGUGACCGGCCACAUUGGGACUGAGAUACGGCCCAGACUCCUACGGGAGGCAGCAGUGGGGAAUAUUGCACAAUGGGCGGAAGCCUGAUGCAGCAACGCCGCGUGCGGGAUGACGGCCUUCGGGUUGUAAACCGCUUUCGCCUGUGACGAAGCGUGAGUGACGGUAAUGGGUAAAGAAGCACCGGCUAACUACGUGCCAGCAGCCGCGGUGAUACGUAGGGUGCGAGCGUUGUCCGGAUUUAUUGGGCGUAAAGGGUUCGUAGGUGGUUGAUCGCGUCGGAAGUGUAAUCUUGGGGCUUAACCCUGAGCGUGCUUUCGAUACGGGUUGACUUGAGGAAGGUAGGGGAGAAUGGAAUUCCUGGUGGAGCGGUGGAAUGCGCAGAUAUCAGGAGGAACACCAGUGGCGAAGGCGGUUCUCUGGGCCUUUCCUGACGCUGAGGAGCGAAAGCGUGGGGAGCGAACAGGCCUAGAUACCCUGGUAGUCCACGCUGUAAACGGUGGGUACUAGGUGUGGGGUCCAUUCCACGGGUUCCGUGCCGUAGCUAACGCUUUAAGUACCCCGCCUGGGGAGUACGGCCGCAAGGCUAAAACUCAAAGGAAUUGACGGGGCCCCGCACAAGCGGCGGAGCAUGCGGAUUAAUUCGAUGCAACGCGUAGAACCUUACCUGGGUUUGACAUGGAUCGGGAGUGCUCAGAGAUGGGUGUGCCUCUUUUGGGGUCGGUUCACAGGUGGUGCAUGGCUGUCGUCAGCUCGUGUCGUGAGAUGUUGGGUUAAGUCCCGCAACGAGCGCAACCCCUGUUCACUGUUGCCAGCACGUUAUGGUGGGGACUCAGUGGAGACCGCCGGGGUCAACUCGGAGGAAGGUGGGGAUGACGUCAAGUCAUCAUGCCCCUUAUGUCCAGGGCUUCACGCAUGCUGCAAUGGCUGGUACAGAGAGUGGCGAGCCUGUGAGGGUGAGCGAAUCUCGGAAAGCCGGUCUCAGUUCGGAUUGGGGUCUGCAACUCGACCUCAUGAAGUCGGAGUCGCUAGUAAUCGCAGAUCAGCAACGCUGCGGUGAAUACGUUCCCGGGGCU
rnacentral:rRNA from 1 species